UCGGUUGUGGUGAAUACGGCUUCGAAAGACAAAACACAGAUAAAUAAGAAAUCAGAGAUAAUACACUUUCGGAUCUCACUCCUUUGUUGAGAAGCCUAUGAUGAAGAAGACCCGAAUGGAAAUAUCACAAUCAAGUGGGACAUUAUUAGUU